rnacentral:rRNA from 1 species
GAUUUCUGACGAACCGGAGUGGCCCGUUUCCUUUCCGGGAAUGAGUGCCGCUUUGAGUUUGUCAUCCUUCCAGAGAGCUACGUCUACCGUUUACUCGGCCGGACGUAUCGAUCUGGAUCUAUUACUUUGAAAAAAUUAGAGUGUUUAAAGCAGGCUUAUGCUCUGAAUACAUUAGCAUGGAAUAAUAAUUUAGGACUUUGGUUCUAUUUUGUUGGUUUCUAGGACUGAAGUAAUGAUUGAUAGGGAUAGUUGGGGGUGCUAGUAUUCCGCGGCCAGAGGUGAAAUUCUUGGAUUCGCGGAAGACUAACUACUGCGAAAGCAUU